rnacentral:rRNA from 1 species
UGGGGAAUCUUGCACAAUGGGCGAAAGCCUGAUGCAGCGACGCCGCGUGAGGGAUGACGGCCUUAGGGUUGUAAACCUCUUUCAGCAGGGACGAAGCGAAAGUGACGGUACCUGCAGAAGAAGCCCCGGCUAACUACGUGCCAGCAGCCGCGGUAAUACGUAGGGGGCGAGCGUUGUCCGGAUUUAUUGGGCGUAAAGAGCGCGUAGGUGGUUUGUAAAGUCGGAUGUGAAAGUCCAGGGCUUAACCCUGGGAUGCCAUUCGAUACUUGCAGACUAGAGCAUGGUAGGGGGAUCUGGAAUUCCUGGUGUAGCGGUGAAAUGCGCAGAUAUCAGGAGGAACACCGGUGGCGAAGGCGGGAUCCUGGGCCAUUGCUGACACUGAGGCGCGAAAGCUGGGGGAGCAAACAGGAUUAGAUACCCUGGUAGUCCCAGCCGUAAACGAUGGGUGCUAGGUGUGGGAGGCUAUCGACGCCUUCCGUGCCGCAGCUAACGCAUUAAGCACCCCGCCUGGGGAGUACGGCCGCAAGGCUAA